UGUCAGCUGACCCGGAAGUGGCGGCGGCGCAGGGCGAUGGCGGAGAAGUUCGACUCGCUGGAGGAGCAGCUGGAGAAGUUCGUGGAGAACAUCCGGCAGCUCGGCAUCAUCGUCAGCGACUUCCAGCCCAGCAGCCAGGCCGGGCUCAACCAGAAGCUGAAUUUUAUGGUUACCGGCUUGCAAGAUAUUGACAAGUGCCGACAGCAACUUCACGAUAUAAGCGUACCUUUAGAGGUUUUUGAAUACAUAGAUCAAGGCCGUAAUCCCCAGCUUUACACUAAAGAGUGUUUGGAAAGGGCGUUGGCUAAAAAUGAACAAGUAAAAGGCAAAAUUGACACUAUGAAGAAAUUUAAAAGCUUAUUGAUUCAAGAGCUGACUAAAGUCUUCCCAGAGGACAUGGCCAAGUACAAAGCUAUUCGAGGAGAAGAACCUCCUCCUUAAGACUGCCUUUGAGAUCAAGAGGAGAUGCUGGAUAAGAACAAAAUGGAAGAAUGAGCCAGCUUGGACCCUUGGAUGAACAGUAGCUUGAACUUUGCAGUACAGCAGGUUAAGUCCUUGGAUCUCGCAGGGGCCUAGGAGGUGGUGAUAAUAGAAAUGCAGUACCCCCACAGCUGGAACAAUAUCAAUGAAGCUACCCUUCUGAAAUUGCCUUUGGCGAGAAGAAAUGGAGUUUCAACCUGUGACAAGGCUAUCACUUGUCCAUACCCAAAUUACUGGAUUAUAUGAAUAAUACUAUGGCUAAUCAUUCAGGGGAACUACCAGAGGUGGUUAUGAAAUAUGACCCUGUGGGUACAAAAGUUAGACUUAAAUCUUCUGAUGUUGCUUAUGCUUUUUCUAUAGGCAGGAAGCUAGCUAAUAUCUGUUUUUCCUAUAACUGUUAACUCCUUUUUGUUUCCCUAGCAAGUGUUUUGCAACCCUGUUCUUACCCCUAGCAUAAUCCCCUCUCAAACCCUGCACAUUCCCCUUUUACAUCCCUUUGUCUGUGCAAUCUUGCUACCCAUGCCUAGUCACAUAUGUUUAUGCUACAGGUUAACCCUUGAGAAACUUUCACAUUUUUAAUGUCUUAUGUAUGCCUUUUGCCCUCUGGAGGUCCGGCGUUGCAGCUACCAAGACAAAACCAUCUAUCACCUCUCUCUUAAGAAUGAUAAUCCACAAAGAGCUUUAACAAAUCUGUCACUGUUUCUGAAGAAUGUUUCACCAAACAUUUCACCUGAAAACAUUUUUGUAGUGUAAACUUUCAGUCCCUGUUUUUUUUUAUCCACAACCCCUAAAGCACAUGCUCUGGGUUUGUGAAUCUUUGUGUUUUCACUCGGUUUUCUCAGGGCUUAGUGGGGUGUUGACCACUGAAGAACUGGAGGUGUGUUAGCAUUGUUGCUUGUUAUCACUGUUUUUGUUUUGUCUUUUGACUUGAUGUAUCUGAGCAUUGGACUGUCUUGAUGCUUUGCCUGUGCUCUUCUGCAGCUUUGUGGUGGCAUUGUUGUUACAUUUAACUCUAUAAUUUCUCUUUCUCACUAAAACCCACCCAUGCCUAUGUGUUUGCUUAAAAACAAAAUCCCUUAAAUGACCAAACAAAUAACAUGUAUUAACUGGGGUUCAACCUAGUAAGCUGUUGAUGCUAGAGCAUUUUCCUUUUCAGCUGUCUCUUUCUUGUUUCUUUUGAGCUUGUUUACAUGACAGUCAAAGGGUCUCUCCUGAUAACAUUAUUACAAAACUACCACAUUCUGGGGUGCAACCCAGAACAGUGA